GCAAUGGACGAAAGUCUGACGGAGCGACGCCGCGUGAGCGAAGAAGGUCUUCGGAUCGUAAAGCUCUGUUGUUAGGGAAGAAGAAGUACCGUUCGAAUAGGGCGGUACGGUGACGGUACCUAACGAGAAAGCCCCGGCUAACUACGUGCCAGCAG
rnacentral:rRNA from 1 species